AGCGGCGGACGGGUGAGUAACACGUGGGCAACCUGCCUGUAAGACUGGGAUAACUUCGGGAAACCGGAGCUAAUACCGGAUAAUGCUUCUUCUCACAUGUGAGGAAGCUGAAAGAUGGCUUCGGCUAUCACUUACAGAUGGGCCCGCGGCGCAUUAGCUAGUUGGUGAGGUAACGGCUCACCAAGGCGACGAUGCGUAGCCGACCUGAGAGGGUGAUCGGCCACACUGGGACUGAGACACGGCCCAGACUCCUACGGGAGGCAGCAGUAGGGAAUCUUCCGCAAUGGACGAAAGUCUGACGGAGCAACGCCGCGUGAGUGAUGAAGGUUUUCGGAUCGUAAAACUCUGUUGUUAGGGAAGAACAAGUACCGUUCGAAUAGGGCGGUACCUUGACGGUACCUAACCAGAAAGCCACGGCUAACUACGUGCCAGCAGCCGCGGUAAUACGUAGGUGGCAAGCGUUGUCCGGAAUUAUUGGGCGUAAAGCGCGCGCAGGUGGUCUCUUAAGUCUGAUGUGAAAGCCCCCGGCUCAACCGGGGAGGGUCAUUGGAAACUGGGAGACUUGAGUGCAGGAGAGAAGAGUGGAAUUCCACGUGUAGCGGUGAAAUGCGUAGAGAUGUGGAGGAACACCAGUGGCGAAGGCGA
rnacentral:rRNA from 1 species